rnacentral:rRNA from 1 species
GACUGCGGAGGAUCAUUACCGUGGGGCUUCGGCCCCGUCGUGAUAGAACCCUUGCCUUUUUGAGUACCGUCCGUUUCCUCGGCAGGCUCGCCUGCCAAUGGGGACCCAAAACCAAACUCUUUUUAUCAUCUGUACCAGUCUGAAAAACAAACAAAAGUUAAAACUUUCAACAACGGAUCUCUUGGUUCUGGCAUCGAUGAAGAACGCAGCGAAAUGCGAUAAGUAAUGUGAAUUGCAGAAUUCAGUGAAUCAUCGAAUCUUUGAACGCACAUUGCGCCCUCUGGUAUUCCGGGGGGCAUGCCUGUUCGAGCGUCAUUACAACCCUCAAGCUUUGCUUGGUAUUGGACAUUGCCAGUUUCUGGCAGGUCUUAAAAUCAGUGGCGGUGCCAUUUGGCUUCAAGCGUAGUAAUUCUUCUCGCUUUGGAGAUCCAAGUGGUUACUUGCCAAUAACCCCCAAUUUUUUCAGGUUGACCUCGGAUCAGGUAGGGAUACCCGCUGAACCUAAGCAUAUCAAUAAGCGGAGGA